rnacentral:rRNA from 1 species
CCUACGGGAGGCAGCAGUGGGGAAUAUUGCACAAUGGGGGAAACCCUGAUGCAGCGACGCCGCGUGAGUGAAGAAGUAUUUCGGUACGUAAAGCUCUAUCAGCAGGGAAGAAAAUGACGGUACCUGACUAAGAAGCCCCGGCUAACUACGUGCCAGCAGCCGCGGUAAUACGUAGGGGGCAAGCGUUAUCCGGAUUUACUGGGUGUAAAGGGAGCGUAGACGGCAGCGCAAGUCUGGAGUGAAAUCCCAUGGCUUAACCAUGGAACUGCUUUGGAAACUGUGCAGCUAGAGUGCAGGAGAGGUAAGCGGAAUUCCUAGUGUAGCGGUGAAAUGCGUAGAUAUUAGGAGGAACACCAGUGGCGAAGGCGGCUUACUGGACUGUAACUGACGUUGAGGCUCGAAAGCGUGGGGAGCAAACAGGAUUAGAUACCGCAGUAGUC